UGCACGCGGGGCCUCAAAUUUAAAGUGGCAAAUACAACAAAGAAGUGAGCAGGGAAAUCCCAGUGGAGUCUCAAUCAUAUAGAUGGGUGGCUUCCACAAACCAAAGCUACUUUCUGGCUUUCAUGUGGCUUAGAGUUGAUCUGUUUCUAUCAAGUAAAAAUAUUUUCCCACCGCCACAAUUCUCAGAAGAUAUGGAAUUUUCCCCUUUAGAAGGUCUGAUUCUAAAUUCCAAAGCUUAUCUAAGCAGAAGAGAGGUGUCUAGGUGCUAUUGGAAAGACAACUGUAUAAUAAAAACUAAAGGCAUCUAACUGUUUCUCUUUAGUUUCAUUUGAAUAUGUAUUAUGUUUUCUAUUUUAUGAACAAGAAAGUAUUCAUCAAUGAUGAAUAGCUGCACGAGUGUUUGGCUGAUUGCUCUUCAUUAAUGCAUUCAAUGAUUAAUACUCCUAGAAAUCCAAA